UACGAAGGGGACUAGCGUUGUUCGGAAUCACUGGGCGUAAAGCGCACGUAGGCGGAUAUGUCAGUCAGGGGUGAAAUCCCGGGGCUCAACCUCGGAACUGCCUUUGAUACAGCAUAUCUUGAGUCCGAUAGAGGUGGGUGGAAUUCCUAGUGUAGAGGUGAAAUUCGUAGAUAUUAGGAAGAAUCACCGGUGGCGAAGGCGGCCCACUGGAUCGGUACUGACGCUGAGGUGCGAAAGCGUGGGGAGCGAACAGG
rnacentral:rRNA from 1 species